UACAGAGGUCUCGAGCGUUAGGCGGAAUCACUGGGCUUAAAGCGUGUGUAGGCGGAUUGGUAAGUACUUUGUGAAUCCCACGGCUUAACCGUGGAACUGCUUGGUAUACUGCCAGUCUUGAGCCAGCUAGGGCUACCGGAACAAAUGGUGGAGCGGUGAAAUGCGUAGAUAUCAUUGGAACGCCAAUGGUGAAACAGGUAGCUGGCUGUGCUGACGCUGAGACACGAAGCCAGGAGCAACGG
rnacentral:rRNA from 1 species